GGUUUUCGGAUCGUAAAGCUCUGUUGUUGGUGAAGAAGGAUAGAGGCAGUAACUGGUCUUUAUUUGACGGUAAUCAACCAGAAAGUCACGGCUAACUACGUGCCAGCAGCCGCGGUAAUACGUAGGUGGCAAGCGUUGUCCGGAUUUAUUGGGCGUAAAGCGAGCGCAGGCGGAAUGAUAAGUCUGAUGUGAAAGCCCACGGCUCAACCGUGGAACUGCAUCGGAAACUGUCAUUCUUGAGUGCAGAAGAGGAGAGUGGAAUUCCAUGUGUAGCGGUGGAAUGCGUAGAUAUAUGGAAGAACACCAGUGGCGAAGGCGGCUCUCUGGUCUGCAACUGACGCUGAGGCUCGAAAGCAUGGGUAGCGAACAGGAUUAGAUACCCUGGUAGUCCAUGCCGUAAACGAUGAGCGCUAGGUGUUGGGGACUUUCCGGUCCUCAGUGCCGCAGCAAACGCAUUAAGCGCUCCGCCUGGGGAGUACGACCGCAAGGUUGAAACUCAAAGGAAUUGACGGGGGCCCGCACAAGCGGUGGAGCAUGUGGUUUAAUUCGAAGCAACGCGAAGAACCUUACCAGGUCUUGACAUCCUGCGCUACACCUAGAGAUAGGUGGUUCCCUUCGGGGACGCAGAGACAGGUGGUGCAUGGCUGUCGUCAGCUCGUGUCGUGAGAUGUUGGGUUAAGUCCCGCAACGAGCGCAACCCUUGUCUUUAGUUGCCAUCAUUAAGUUGGGCACUCUAAAGAGACUGCCGGUGACAAACCGGAGGAAGGUGGGGAUGACGUCAAGUCAUCAUGCCCCUUAUGACCUGGGCUACACACGUGCUACAAUGGGCAGUACAACGAGAAGCGAACCCGCGAGGGUAAGCGGAUCUCUUAAAGCUGUUCUCAGUUCGGACUGCAGGCUGCAACUCGCCUGCACGAAGCUGGAAUCGCUAGUAAUCGCGGAUCAGCACGCCGCGGUGAAUACGUUCCCGGGCCUUGUACACACCGCCCGUCACACCAUGGAAGUCUGCAAUGCCCAAAGUCGGUGGGAUAACCUUUAUAGGAGUCAGCCGCCUAAGGCAGGGCAGAUGACUGGGGUGAAGUCGUAACAAGGUAGCCGUAGGAGAACCUGCGGCUGGAUCACCU
rnacentral:rRNA from 1 species